UGGUAGUCCACGCUGUAAACGAUGUCGACUUGGAGGUUGUUCCCUUGAGGAGUGGCUUCCGGAGCUAACGCGUUAAGUCGACCGCCUGGGGAGUACGGCCGCAAGGUUAAAACUCAAAUGAAUUGACGGGGGCCCGCACAAGCGGUGGAGCAUGUGGUUUAAUUCGAUGCAACGCGAAGAACCUUACCUGGCCUUGACAUCCACAGAAGAAUUCAGAGAUGGAUUUGUGCCUUCGGGAACUGUGAGACAGGUGCUGCAUGGCUGUCGUCAGCUCGUGUUGUGAAAUGUUGGGUUAAGUCCCGCAACGAGCGCAACCCUUAUCCUUUGUUGCCAGCGAUUUGGUCGGGAACUCAAAGGAGACUGCCGGUGAUAAACCGGAGGAAGGUGGGGAUGACGUCAAGUCAUCAUGGCCCUUACGGCCAGGGCUACACACGUGCUACAAUGGCGCAUACAAAGAGAAGCGAGCCUGCGAAGGGAAGCGGACCUCAUAAAGUGCGUCGUAGUCCGGAUCGGAGUCUGCAACUCGACUCCGUGAAGUCGGAAUCGCUAGUAAUCGUGGAUCAGAAUGCCACGGUGAAUACGUUCCCGGGCCUUGUACACACCGCCCGUCACACCAUGGGAGUGGGUUGCAAAAGAAGUAGGUAGCUUAACCUUCGGGAGGGCGCUUACCACUUUGUGAUUCAUGACUGGGGGUGAAGUCGUAACAAGGUACCAAGGGCGAA
rnacentral:rRNA from 1 species